rnacentral:ncRNA from 1 species
CAAACGACCAUGAUGGGAAGAGUAAGCCGAUCCUCCUUAUUCCAGAGAGCCGGGGCAGCUGAAAACCGGUAUAAGCGAGCAAGCCGAACAUGGACCCAGAGUCUUGCAGAUGAACAGCCGCGACCAAACCGUCGUGCCCAGUAGUCUGUGACGUUGACCCGCGUUAAGGGUAGAGUCUGUUUUGGACUCACCAAGUCCGUUUUCCGCGAGGGAGACGGAGCAUUUGGGUGGUACCGCGAGUUAGAGCUCGCCCCAAUU